UACGUAGGGGGCGAGCGUUGUCCGGAUUCAUUGGGCGUAAAGAGCUCGUAGGCGGUUCAGUAAGUCGGGUGUGAAAUCUCCGUGCUCAACACGGAGCGGCCACCUGAUACUGCUGUGACUCGAGUCCGGUAGGGGAGUGUGGAAUUCCCGGUGUAGCGGUGAAAUGCUUAGAUAUCGUCAAGAACACCUAUAGCGAAGGCAGCUUACUAGGCUGUAACUGACGCUGAGGCACGAAAGUGUGGGGAUCAAACAGG
rnacentral:rRNA from 1 species